CUUGGAGCUGGUGUGCAGUGUCCUGACUGUAAGAUCAAGUCCAAACCUGUUUUGGACUUGAGAAAACUUCUCUUUUGAUCUCAGCCCUUGGUGGUCCAGGUCUUCAUGCUGCUGUGGGUGAUAUUACUGGUCCUGGCUCCUGUCAGUGGACAGUUUGCAAGGACACCCAGGCCCAUUAUUUCCCUCCAGCCUCCAUGGACCACAGUCUUCCAAGGAGAGAGAGUGACCCUGACUUGCAAGGGAUUUCACUUCUACUUACCACAGAAAACAAAAUGGUACCAUCGGUACCUUGGGAAAGAAAUACUAAGAGAAACCCCAGACAAUACCCUUGAGGUUCAGAAAUCUGGAGAGUACAGAUGCCAGGCCCAGGGCUCCCCUCUCAGUAGCCCUGUGCACUUGGAUUUUUCUUCAGAUAUGGGAUUUCCUCAUGCUGCCCAGGCUAAUGUUGAACUCCUGGGCUCAAGUGAUCUGCUCACCUAGGCCUUUCAAAGUGCUGGGAUUACAGCUUCACUGAUCCUGCAAGCUCCACUUUCUGUGUUUGAAGGAGACUCUGUGGUUCUGAGGUGCCGGGCAAAGGCGAAAGUAACACUAAAUAAUACUAUUUACAAGAAUGAUAAUGUCCUGGCAUUCCUUAAUAAAAGAACUGACUUCCAUAUUCCUCAUGCAAGUCUCAAGGACAAUGGUGCAUAUCGCUGUACUGGAUAUAAGGAAAGUUGUUGCCCUGUUUCUUCCAACACAGUCAAAAUCCAAGUCCAAGAGCCAUUUACACGUCCAGUGCUGAGAGCCAGCUCCUUCCAGCCCAUCAGCGGGAGCCCAGUGACCCUGACCUGUAAGACCCGGCUCUCUCUAGAGAGGUCAGAUGUCCCUCUCCGGUUCUGCUUCUUCAGAGAUGACCAGACCCUGGGAUCAGGCUGGAGUCUCUCCCCGAAGUUCCAGAUUACUGCCAUGUGGAGUAAAGAUUCAGGAUUCUACUGGUGUCAGGCAGCAACAAUGCCUUACAGCAUCAUAUCUGACAGCCCGAGAUCCUGGAUACAGGUGCAGAUCCCCGCAUCUCAUCCUGUCCUCACUCUCAGCCCUGAAAAGGCUCUGAAUUUUGAGGGAACCAAGGUGACACUUCACUGUGAAACCCAGGAAGAUUCUCUGCGCACUUUGUACAGGUUUUAUCAUGAGGGUGUCCCCCUGAGGCACAAGUCAGUCCGCUGUGAAAGGGGAGCAUCCAUCAGCUUCUCACUGACUACAGAGCAUUCAGGGAACUACUACUGCACAGCUGACAAUGGCUUUGGUGCCAAGCCCAGUAAGGCUGUGAGCCUCUCAGUCACUGGUAAGCCCUGCGUUCCUGCCAAUCACCCACCCCUGGCCAAGAGUCCUGUCUCACCCUGCCCUUCGGAAGUCAACAUAUACCUUCCCGUAUCCUCGGUUUCUUUCUUGGGAAAACCUAAUGUCCUCCUCCACUCUCCGGCUCACUGAACCAGCUGUCUACCUCUCAAGUCUCAUUGCAUUGCAGUCUAGGUGCCUUCUUACCCCUGCCUGAUGGUGCAGUGGCUUUCUAUCCCCUGGUUCCCAAUUUCUGAGAAGCCAAGUGCUUUUCUUAUGCUUUCCACUUGUCCUGUGGCUCCCCAGAUGACUGAUUUUCAUUCACUAUAUUAUUCUCAGUAGACACAGAUUCAAUUUCCAGGAGCACAGAGGUAUCUCCUGUUCUGUUAAUAUCAGACAUUAAUCAAUAAACCAAAGGCAAAGACAUGUAAGACACAAAGACAAGUCGCUGGAUCAUAGAUAACCCAGCAUGUCCUUCUUGCUCAAGCCUUUUUUAGAGUUGACGGGCAAUAGGUAAGAAAGGCACGGGCAAUGGUGGGCUGGGGGUAGGCCAGGAGAUAGCUUCACUUCUACUUGCUUGGCUUAAUGCCCUCAGAGCUAUUCAGGUAGCUGCCAAAUAGUUAUGACAUCAAAAAGGUUUCCUUUGAGCUUUGGAUCUCAGUUUUGAACCAUCCAUGCAUGGCUGAAUGCCAGGUCCAGUGUUGAAGGAGACAAUGUGAUUUGGGUCUAUACUGGUGACAGAGAGUCCAGUCUUGGUUGGGCCUGGAAGCAGCAUCAGUUUCCUCUCCUGUAAAACAAUAAUACCAGCUUGGAAGACAAGCAAGAAUCCAGUCCCUCCCACAUGGAUGUGUGAGAUUAUAAAGGAGAGGACCAGGGAACCCAGGGGGAGACAUCAAAUGACGUAGAAAGAGAACAGUGUCCCUGACAUUCAGAGGCCCAAGGAAAGUGGAGACAGUGACAUCAUGAUCAAACAUGCUCAGAGAUGUUUAAAGUCCUAUUCAAUGACUCACUUCUUCACCUAAUAAAUGCUGAUUGCAUAUA
rnacentral:sRNA from 1 species